rnacentral:rRNA from 1 species
GACGAACGCUGGCGGCGUGCUUAACACAUGCAAGUCGAACGAAGAGCGAUGGAAGCUUGCUUCUAUCAAUCUUAGUGGCGAACGGGUGAGUAACGCGUAAUCAACCUGCCCUUCAGAGGGGGACAACAGUUGGAAACGACUGCUAAUACCGCAUACGAUCUGACCUCGGCAUCGAGGAUAGAUGAAAGGUGGCCUCUAUUUAUAAGCUAUCACUGAAGGAGGGGAUUGCGUCUGAUUAGCUAGUGGGAGGGGUAACGGCCCACCAAGGCGAUGAUCAGUAGCCGGUAUGAGAGGAUGAGCAGCCAGACUGAGAGUGAGACAGGGCCCAGACGGCUAGAGGAGGGAGCAGUAGGGAUACUUGCGCAAUGGACGAAAGACUGAGGGAGCAACGCCGAGUGAGUGAUGAGGGACGUCGGGUUGGGAAGCUCGGUUAUUCGGGACGAAAGGCCUUCUGGCGAAUAGUUAGAAGGAUUGACGGUACUGGGAUAGAAAGCCACGGCUAACUACGUG